CAGUCGCCGCGGUAACACGUAGGGUGCAAGCGUUAAUCGGAAUUACUGGGCGUAAAGCGUGCGCAGGCGGUUUUGUAAGACAGAGGUGAAAUCCCCGGGCUCAACCUGGGAACUGCCUUUGUGACUGCAAGGCUAGAGUACGGCAGAGGGGGAUGGAAUUCCGCGUGUAGCAGUGAAAUGCGUAGAUAUGCGGAGGAACACCGAUGGCGAAGGCAAUCCCCUGGGCCUGUACUGACGCUCAUGCACGAAAGCGUGGGGAGCAAACAGGAUUAGAUACCCCUGUAGUCCCUGUCUCUUAUAC
rnacentral:rRNA from 1 species